rnacentral:rRNA from 1 species
UGAGGAAUAUUGGUCAAUGGGCGAAAGCCUGAACCAGCCAAGCCGCGUGAAGGAAGAAGGUUCUAUGGAUUGUAAACUUCUUUUGUAAGGGAAUAAAAAGAGUUACGUGUAACUUAUUGUAUGUACUUUAAGAAUAAGGAUCGGCUAACUCCGUGCCAGCAGCCGCGGUAAUACGGAGGAUCCAAGCGUUAUCCGGAUUUAUUGGGUUUAAAGGGUGCGUAGGCGGGCCGUUAAGUCAGUGGUGAAAGCUUGCAGCUUAACUGUAAAAUUGCCAUUGAAACUGAGGGUCUUGAGUGUAGAUGAGGUAGGCGGAAUGUGUUGUGUAGCGGUGAAAUGCUUAGAUAUAACACAGAACACCAAUUGCGAAGGCAGCUUACUGGGAUACAACUGACGCUGAGGCACGAAAGCGUGGGGAUCAAACA